AUUAGAUAUAAAAUAUAUUAUGAAAGUUAAACAAUUAUUACAAAAAUUUAAAUAAUAUUUCAUGAAAUUUUUAAUAUAUUUAAAAAAAAUUUACUACUUUGUAUGAUUUGUUCUCAUUCUACUAAAUAGCAGCAUCAGCUAUGUUUGUUGUGCUCAACAAUGUAAAAUUGAAAGUUUUUAAAUCAUUAGGGAAUAGUGUAACCAUUGAUUAUAGCAUGUUUAUCUUCUUUUGUGGAUCAGAUACCUAUUCUAUAAACCCACAUUAUAACUGGAGAGCACUCUGCUUUCUUUGGCUGAACUAUGUAAACAGUCAUUCUCUGACUCCUGGUGAUUGUACUAUGAUAUCUUACUAUAUAAUUUUUAAGAACCAACUUGCUCUUUGACUGCCAACUUAAGGGGACGCUAGAAAAAUAAACAAGGAAGGACUGUUAGAGAGUUUGGGUACAAAUUUUGAGGAGAAAGGAAGAUAGAUUACUGGAUUCAAUGGAUUUCCCUGUGUCUUAUAUUAAAACUAUGAUAUAUGUAAAUAUUAAAAUAGUGCAGUCGACAGUUUUAACUAAGUUUGAUUACAAAAGAUCCUGAUUUCAAAGUUAUCAAUUGCUAGAUUGGAG
rnacentral:lncRNA from 1 species